AACGAACGCUGGCGGCAUGCCUAAUACAUGCAAGUCGAACGAGAUCUUCGGAUCUAGUGGCGCACGGGUGCGUAACGCGUGGGAAUCUGCCCUUGGGUUCGGAAUAACUUCUGGAAACGGAAGCUAAUACCGGAUGAUGACGUAAGUCCAAAGAUUUAUCGCCCAAGGAUGAGCCCGCGUAGGAUUAGCUAGUUGGUGGGGUAAAGGCCCACCAAGGCGACGAUCCUUAGCCGGUCUGAGAGGAUGAUCAGCCACACUGGGACUGAGACACGGCCCAGACUCCUACGGGAGGCAGCAGUAGGGAAUAUUGGACAAUGGGGGAAACCCUGAUCCAGCAAUGCCGCGUGAGUGAUGAAGGCCUUAGGGUUGUAAAGCUCUUUUACCCGGGAUGAUAAUGACAGUACCGGGAGAAUAAGCUCCGGCUAACUCCGUG
rnacentral:rRNA from 1 species